rnacentral:lncRNA from 1 species
UUCAAAAGAGCAUUUCAUAUUUAAAACUUAGGAGAGUUAUCCUUCAAUACGAGAGACUUAUGUCCUUUCUCUUACCUUGUAAGUUACAAUGGUUUUCUUUGCAAAUUCUCAUGCUAUAGACAAUAUUCAAGACAUGAUUGACCAAUCACCCGGGCCUCAAUUUCAUAAAAAAUUGGGGUCAAUUGUAGAAUCCUUCGAAAGUGUUCCUCUUUGUUCGGACCCAAAUCAUUUGAACAAUUAUGAUAUCUUGACAC